ACAACCCUCCCCACUUCCAUCCUUAUUGUACCCCUACGUGCUGGCAGCCCACCUCUGCUUUCUGCAACUCUGAUCCCUCUUUGCUCUACAGCUCUCUGUCAUACUUCUUUCAAGGUCUUCAGGGCUUCAGCUGCCCCAGAAAGUGGAACAAAAAAGCUCACUGGAAACACUGAAAGAGAGGACUGGAGGAGAGAGAUGAAAGGAGAUGAGUAGGCGUGGGAAAAAGAGACAGAACAGACUACAUAUUUAUUUUCCUUAAAAAGGCAUGUAAAGCUCCUCUGGGAAAGCACUGGCCACUGCCCAAGACAGCAUGCUAGAGUAGAUGGAGUGACAGCCUAAUGCAUUUAAACAACAUCUAGGAGCACUUUUAUGAAGUCCAGUCUGGCUCUGGAUGAAGAGAAACUGUUUGGAAACAGCUGGUUGUUGAUGAGCCAAACCAAACCUGGACACGGUGUGAUGUGACUUUAUUUUUGCUGAAAGCUCACCAGGAUGCUAUGUCAGACAAAUGCGCUCCUUCAGUACAGGUGGCAAGAAAGGCUUGGCCAUAUGGAGAACCAUUGCUGCUGCUGUCACUGCCAAAAGCUGUAUUAGAUGCCCCACAAAACAGAAAGAGGAUUUACUGCAGUUAAACAGGCUUGUUAACGCUGUUGGUCAUAAGAUAAUGAAAGCAAAAAUGUUUUUCUUCAUUAGAAAAAGCAGAAAGAGUGAUGUUAGCUGAACAGUGGUCAGUAUUAAGUGAAUAAUGCAGUUAUGUAGGAAAGGAGCUACAGGAAGGCCUUAUCAGUAUUGCAGCCAACAUAAAGCAAGUAUUUGCCACUCUGUCGCCUCUAUCUUCUCUGAGCAUAUCAGCAGUGAGAUUGUGUCUAUUGUCACUCUUACCAUGAGUUAUGUGAUUCUUUCACUUUUGAACUGGGCUCUGGCCUGUGAUGCCCUCUGUGUCACUCACAGUUACGCAGUAACUGAGUGAAUUUGUAUCUGCAGACAUAGCAAUGAAGACAGUGACCUGCCAGCUUUUCAAUUCUACCCCCAAUCAAAGAGGGAUUUAUUUCCUGAUAGGAGUGUAAAAUUUAGAGAAAAUGGAGUUUAAGGCUUCAGAUAGUUGCUGGGCAUCAUCCUGUCUAAACUUAACCACAGACCAAAGACAGCCAAGAUAGGCAGAGACACCUCAGACAUCCCUCACACGAUACCACUGCACAGCACUUAACUUUCAUCAGAUGGAGAAAAACCAUUUUUAAACCUUUCAGAACAUGUGGAGGAACUUUCCUGCUCAGACAAAGCUGUCUAGGGAGCUGAAGCAAAGUUGGGAUAAUCCUCCUCAGAGCCCUCGACUCUGCCGUUUCCUCAUGCCCACGCUGGUGCCCUGAGGGGAGGUGGCUUCCAGGAGCAGGCAAGAAUGCCUCACAGCCUGUCCAUGUACCUGUGAGGAGUUUUCAGACUGACAGAUGUAACCAGCUUAUUGCUUAGGCCCUGACUGAGUGUGUUGGCUUAGCCAAAGUUGGCUGCUGUUCUUCCAAAGAAAUGUUUGUUGAUGACUUACUUGCUAUGGCAUCCCAAGAGGUCAUCUAGACUGAACCCACCACACCUAAAUUAGCCUUGAAAGGCAUUCAUGCAGCCUGUUCUUAAGUGCCACCAGAAGUAAAGAUUUCACAUCCCCUUCAGCAAUUGAUUUCUCUGCUAACCUCUCUCCACUGCUUCCCAAAGGUAUUUUAAAGUGCUUAAUCUAAAUCCUUAAGCCAAUAAUAGCCACAUGGACAGGAUCCAAAAAUAGCACUGACAAUGGGUGUUAACACCAGUUCAGUAACCCUAAGCUCCAGAUUGUCUGCAUACAUCUGUUUGAUGGUCACACCAGACUAG